CGAACACAUCACGUUGAAACACCGGUUCUUGUACGGUCACCGAAGUUAAGCAGCGUCGUGCCUGGUCAGAACGAAAUGAGUGACCGCUUGGAAAUACCAGGUGCUGUAAG